rnacentral:rRNA from 1 species
AAUGAACGCUGGCGGCAUGCCUAACACAUGCAAGUCGAACGAAGUGCCUUCGGGUGCUUAGUGGCGCACGGGUGCGUAACGCGUGGGAAUCUGCCCCUUGGUUCGGAAUAACAGUUGGAAACGACUGCUAAUACCGGAUGAUGACGUAAGUCCAAAGAUUUAUCGCCGAGGGAUGAGCCCGCGUAGGAUUAGGUAGUUGGUGUGGUAAAGGCGCACCAAGCCGACGAUCCUUAGCUGGUCUGAGAGGAUGAUCAGCCACACUGGGACUGAGACACGGCCCAGACUCCUACUGGGAGGCAGCAGUGGGGAAUAUUGGACAAUGGGCGAAAGCCUGAUCCAGCAAUGCCGCGUGAGUGAUGAAGGCCUUAGGGUUGUAAAGCUCUUUUACCCGGGAUGAUAAUGACAGUACCGGGAGAAUAA